ACUUGUCAGCCUCACACUUGCCCUAAAAACGCUAGGUACACCCCACCAAGUGAACACCAAAGGUUAUUCUGCCUAUUUCUUUGACCCAAAAAAUCCACCAAAAAUCAUUAAAAUAUUAGAUAGAUUUAUAAGCCUAUUAUAACAAACCAAUAUCCUUUUGCACAUUGUUAAGGUCUAAAACUAAAUAAAGCUAUUUUCAGCCAAUAGAAAAGCCCCAUAAGUGUACCCCAAAUUCUCCCUUUUGCAUUUCUUUGCCCCAAAAAUAUCCAAUAAAUUUCUAAAAAUACUAGAAUAUAUUUUAAACACAUUCAUAAGUUCACCUCCCCAAACUCAUGUCCUAAACCCCCAAAACUAAGGAGGCACUUAAUAAACCUAUAGAAAUUCUAUUUCCUUUAUAUAAGAAAUCUUGCCAAACAUCCAAAUCAUUCCUAGGAGCUUAGGAAAUUCUUAGUACAUACCCAAACCCCAUAGCACAGAAACCACCAUCAAGUCAUCCUUUAACCCAUGCGCUCACAUCAAGAAGCCCACAUGAAAUAUAAGAGAAACCACGUGAAAUAUAGGAAAUCAGAAGAAACAUAGGAAAACCGUCUUGAUCCCAUCCUACAACCCAACCCCCCUUCAUAACCCUUCUUGAAUCCUUC
rnacentral:lncRNA from 1 species